rnacentral:rRNA from 1 species
GACGAACGCUGGCGGCGUGCUUAAACACAUGCAAGUCGGACGAGAAAGGGAGCUUCGGUUCCUGAGUAAAAGUGGCGAAACGGGUGCGUAACACGUAAGUAAUCUACCCUAGACACUGGGAUAAACUUUCCGAAAGGGAGGCUAAUACCGGAUAGGUCCUUAUAGCAACAGCCAUGAGGGGAAAGCAGGCCUCUGUUUCAUGCUUGCAGUUUAGGAUGAGCUUGCGGCUCAUAGCUAGUUGGUAGGGUAAAAGCCUACCAAGGCGACGAUGGGUAGCUGGUCUGAGAGGAUGAUCAGCCACACUGGCACUGAGACACGGGCCAGACUCCUACGGGAGGCAGCAGUGGGGAAUUUUGCGCAAUGGGCGAAAGCCUG